rnacentral:lncRNA from 1 species
UUUUUUUUUAGUUGUUAGAGUGGGGAGGGAAAAUUAGGAUUUUUAUUUUUGUAGGAGUUGUAGAUCUGCAUGUGGUGCUUGGGUUUUGUGUUUCUAGAGAGUUGCCCAGUGAAAAUUACUCCCUCUUGCCCCGCCCCGGCCCAGCAGCAGGUGGUGAGGGGAGAGGGCAGUUGAGGCCCUCAGUGCCCGCCCACCAGUCGGCAGCUCAGCCUGGGGCUGUAGAUCCCCAGGGCUGUGCUGCUCAAUUACCAGCGACGCCAUGGACAAGCUGGGCUCACGGUGCCCUCUGCCAGGCUACCCGCGGCCCUCUGUCUUUAUAUGCCUCCUGGUACUUUUGGAAUGGAGAAAUAGAAGAAGCCACUCAGAUCCUGUUGGUUGGUGCAUCCUUUUGAAAUCCCAGAGAUCUUCAGUCUUCUCAUGGACCAAGGAGAUGUGCAGUAUUUGAAGUGGCUGGAGGAGGGCAUGGAGGAGGACUGAGUGGGGGAGGCUUUUUGUGCGUCCUGCUGGCUGCCUCUAGCCUUCAUCAGCUGCACUCUGGGAAAGGGGAGGCCUCUUUCUGCCUCCUGGCAUCUCUGGAUUCCAUGUUUUUGUCAGCACAGAGGAGCUAAGUAACUUGUGAAGGCUGAAGGUCCGAGGCUCCUAAGGCUGGAAGAGGAGGCUGGGCCAGUUGGGCCAGGCAAGAACCCAGUGGAACUUUUCUCUGAGUGCUUCAUGCUUAAAGGUGGCCAGGGGGUGGGAGGGUGAUGAUGGCUGUGUGUAGGGAUCCAGGGGAGGUGGCAGUGAGGGUGAGGUUUGUCACCUUCUCCUGCAGUCACUGUGCCUACCUCGAGUGCCCAAGAUGUAAUUCCUCUCCUUCUCAGGAGGAGGAAUGGACCUCAUGACCUCUUCAGCCAGAACUGUGUGGGAUGAAUGCACCUUUUGGGAAACUGGCAAGCACUUCAUCCAAAAGGAUGAAUUCCUAAUGGUGGAAUUUCAGGGACAAGCAGGAUUAUUUCUCCAGGCGAAAGAUGGUGUUUGUUGUUCCAGAGUCUUGAGGAGGUGGGACUGGGAAUGGGCCUCAAGAGUUUGUAGGACAAGGGAAACAUUAGGGCUUAGACACAGCCUCAUGGGUUGGGAGUAGGUCUUGACUCUUCCUGGCCUGAAUGUGACAGACAGCAGAAGCUUCUGGGGCCUUUCUCAGUGGAGACACAGGUUCUGAGCCCGCCAUACUAUUUCACUUGAGCAUUGAAGCUGAACAUCCUAAAGUAGGAAAGAACCCUGGGGAAUUGCUGGACCAGUGUUUUUCAGACUUACUCCACAGAGCCCCAGGGGUUGACAGAAGGUACUCUGGGGGCUGCCUCGGUGUGCGGGUAAGGAUAUGAGGCCCCCCCACCCAUAAUUCAACCAGUACAACUGUGCUUUUAUUUAUGUAUUGAGCUCCCUUGUAAGCUUUGGGGUUUUUUUUAAAAGUUUUCUCUGUUAAAAGUUUGUGAACCAGUGGUCUAAGCCAAUCUCCAUUUUAUAGAUUCCUAAAGGAAACUGAACUGCACUGAGGUCCAGAAAGGGGGUGACGUGUUGCAUUAUGAAGGGUACAGCCAGGCCUGCUCGCCCUGUGUCUGGUGCUCUCCUAUACCUGCUCCACGGGUCUUAGGGGGAAGAGAGCAGAGAAGGCAGAGCCCUGUGGGGUGAGAAGAGAGACUUGACCAAAGGCCUCUCUGUGCCUCUAUCACAAGGUAACCCUCCUUGGGGGAGACCAUGGGCAGUUUGGGUAGGGGUCCACAGAUAUCUGUGGUAUCCUGGGCCUUUCUUCCCCGAGGGAAGGGUGUGUGGGAGGGGUUUUGCCUGGCUCUAGUUCUGACACCUCCUGUGCUUCUUGGACCUUAGUUCCUCCGAAUAUAAAAUGGGGGGGGGGGGGAUCUCCAGGGGCUCUUCUGUGAAGACCUUGUAGGGACUUUAGGCUGAGGCCCUUCCAAAGGUUCAGAGGAUCCUAUGUUGAGAGCCAGUGGGGAUUUUGGAGGACUGCCUCAGGAGAAGAAUAAAGAGAAUGAUAAUGGUGGUGUCCCUUUUUACAACAGAUGUUUGUGAUACAUAUGAAAAUCUUGUGUAAGUGUGAAAAUCUUGUGAAAACGUUCUGGGGACCCCAAAUGGACUGCCCGUUAUUGCUUUCAGGAUAAAGUCCAAUUUCUUGCUUUGGCUUUCUUUUUUCUUUUUUUGGUUUAUAACAUUGUGUGAUUUCAGGUGUACAUUAUCAUAUAUCAGUUUCUGUAUAGACUACAUCGUGCUCACCACCAAUAGUCUAUAGUUUUUAUCUGUCUUCGGUCUGGCUUUGAAGGCCCUUCAUAACCUUGUCUCCAACUCUGGCAAGUGGAUGGCUCCAAUAUGCUGUGUGAUAUUACCCCUGAUUUCAGGCCAUCCCUUCUGCCUGGAGUGCCCUUAUGCAUGAAUGCUCGUGAAACCUGGCUGCUCCUUUGCAAGGCCUGGCUCCCCUGGUUGGAAGGAAUCUCUCCUGCUGUGGUGUCCCUGUUAUCCUCGUGCACCACAACCAGCCUCCUAUUUCUAGAAUGUGGGCUGCUCGAGGUCAGGGGCGUGUCUGAAUCUAUUUGAUGUCUUCCACAGGGUUUGGCAAAUAUUUCCCAAAUUGAUGUUUAAAGGAUAUGAAUAACUAAAGCUUUCUCUGUAGUCCAUAGUUAUUUUCUAAUUGUUGGAAUUGGCAAAAUCCAACAUUUUUUCCUUGAACUUUCUUAAAGUAGGACUAAUUCCAAAGCAGAUUUUUCUUUCCCUCUGUGGCCUUCAUUGGGUCAUUUUCUAUGCUGACCGUGCAUUGAAAACUGUUGGUGGCCUUCCUUUGCCUCAGUGUCACCGUUGACUAUAGGAAUGGGAGGGGAGAGGGACAGAACACCAGCUCUCUCUGCCAGGUAGUGU